UGUUGGUAGAGGGGGUUGACCGCAUUACUACCUUUAGUCAUUAGAAAAUAUUGGAAAAUAUUCAUUUUUUGUUAUUUUAAUAAUAUCUAAAUAUUAUUUAUCCAUUUAAAAUUAAUAAUUAUAAAUUUAUUAAAUUUUUUCAUAUAAAUUAAUUGGUGAAAACAUAAUAUUUCGACUUGUAAUGUGUAAUAAUUGAUGAACUAUUUUGUUGAUAUGAGGCGUAGUAAUACACACUGAAGGCUUUAUUAACCCCACUCUUGAUUGUUGAGUGCGUCAUUCCAGGGCUGUUAUUCGUCGAGUGUAGACUGUAUCUUGCUCGGUUGGUCUUGAAGACUGUGCAUCGAUAUUCGGAGGAACUCACCUUUGACGUCGAUUAACACACGAGCUUGCUACAGUCUCACCGUUGAUGAGAUGGCAUUGGAAUGAUCAGCAAGAGAGAGCAAAGGAGAUGUGAUGUGAUGAGAUGAGAUGAGAGGAGAGGGAGGGGGCUGUGAUGAUUGCAGCAACAUUCACUCACUUGCUUGCGUGCUUUCUUGCUUAUGUUGGUUGAUCUCUCUCUCUUACCUGACAGAUGACACAUACACACAGAGAGACAUUGAGAGAUGAUGUCAAGCCAAUUUCAUCGUCGGUUUGUUUACAAUGCAAACACCUUGUUCAAUUGAAAGACAAAAAUAUGUACUCAAAAUCCAUUAAGAGGAAAUGAUUCGAUCGUCCGGAUAUUAUUGUUGUUGUUGUUGUUGCCAUUUUCUAUAUCAACAGCGUCGCAAUGGCCAAGUCACAUCAAUCACAGACAUUUAUUUUGAUACAUCUCGGUGAGAUUAAAAAAAAAGAAAUUGGAUUUGUUUGAUUAUAUAUUUUUUUUGAUUAAAUUGUGGGUUAAAAAUAAAUUUAAGGUAUUGUAAAUUGAGAGGUGAAGGGGAGGGGGGGGGGUGUAGGGAACAAAAAAAAUGUAUGUUUUUGUAGAUGAUGGCCAUGAUGUACAUGUAUUAUCAAGCGGCGCUGAAUGAACCUGGCUGAAUAACGUCGUCGUCGACUUGUUGAGCUUGCCCAAAUAAAUAAACUACAGCCACUUUGCACUACUCCUCGUCAUCAUGUUGUUCGUCUCUGUGCGUGUGUUUAUGUGUACAUCGUUACCUUGACCACUUGAAAUAAUAAUUAUCAUCAUCAUCAUCAUGAUCACCACGACAAUGGAUUGUGAAAUAUGUACUACGGAGAACCUCGCACAAGUAUUUUACAUAUAUAUAUAAAUAAAUAUAAUAUUAUUAUUAUUAGUAUCAUCAUCUAGAAGGAAACAUACACAAGUACAAAAUGACACUUGGCUGUUUUUUGGUGAGCUGUGUUGUUAAUCCUUGCAAUAAUAAUAUUUAUGUGUUGGGGAAAUAUUAGUAUAUUUUCCCAGGUUCUCCGGAUGUCAUCAUCCAUAAUGGAAUGUGGCUUCUUUGACAUUGCACUGCACACUGCUCCACAUUUAUGCUGAUUUACAAUUCAAAACGAGAACGGUAUCACAAUUCUACUAAUGAAAUUUAAUUUUUAUUUUAUCAAUUUAUAAUAAUAUUCGUAUUGAAUAUGAACAUGUACGACGAGAUGUAUGAUAUAUAUAUAUAUAUAUAUGGGAUGGAGGGGGGUAAAAAAAAAAAAGGAAAAACGUAUGAUUUUAGUCACAGGAAAUCAUCAGCCUCAUGUUGUCCUGACUAGAUGCAGUUUUAAUUGGCAAGUACCCAAACAACGAGCACCAUUGUCACAAUCAGAGAGAUUCACUCCUAUUGCUGUACUAUUUUUAAAUGAAUGAACUGAGCACAACUUUGAAAUUAUAUCAGGUAUUUAAAUUUUCUCCAAUGGGGAAAAAAAUAAAAAAAAGAAAUAUGGGAAUAGGGGUGGGGUUUUUUUUUUUUUUUUGUUUGUUAUGUUCAGAAGGUGCUGUCAAUAAUAGUGGAGAUGAUAUAGUAACCAGGCUGAUUUAAUAACGAAAAUUGGAGCAUGCUCUUUAUAUGAAAACUGAUUGGUCACAUCAUCCCAAUACAUACAAAUACGUGAAACGAAUUAUCAACAUGGAUCGAUUCCAAUGCGCUAUAAUAUUUAUCAAAAAUUUUCCAUGAUUUAUGAUGGCAAUAAGGGGUAAUAUGUCAAUCAGGGGUAAGCGGCAAUUAAUGAGCGUUAUUCUCUUUUUUUUUUUUCCUCUUGUUCUUCUUGUUAUUGUUGUUGAGCUUCAAAAACAAGUCAGGGUCUUGGAGACUGAUUAAGCUAAUCCGGAAUGGCACAGUUGACCUUGUGAUGAUAACUAACGUACGUGGUGUAGCCUAGGACAGAUCAUACGAGAUUAAAACAUCAAGAGUAUUAUGGCGUGUGCUUGUUUUAAUUAAAAAUAUAUACGUGGGUGGAAAUCGAAAGGGAGGGGAAAAAUAAUAAUUUGAGCUACAGGCACCAGUUGAGGCGAAAUAAAACAAGAUUACUACUACCACUACUACUACUACUACGACGACGUGGUGAUUCCGGAAUGAGACAAGUUUUAUAACUAUUCAACGUAGUUGUUGGCAUUGGCAUUGUUGCUGUAUCGGUUCACAAUAUUACCAGAGCACAAAUACAUCAUCAAAAAUAUUAUCAAUCAAUCACAACCAAUAGAAAGAAAUUUAUAUAUACAUAUCAAACAGAUGAGUAACUGAGCACAAAUCAAUUUAUGCAGUUUUAUAAUAAUAUAUUGAUUGACAAAAGCCAAUGUCUUGGUCAUCUAGCUUGGCUUUGUCUCAACAAUCAUGUGGUACAGUCCAAUUUGAUCAAGAUCAUAUUAUCAUGGGAGGUAACGCACGUAUCAGUAUAAUUAUUUAUUUAAUAUACAAUCUGUUGUUACCUAUUUUUUUUUUCUUCUUCUUCUUAAACUUUUUGUCUUCUUAAUUUUAUUUGAUGAUGAAAUCAAUUGCGUGUGUGCGUGUGUGUCUAUCUUGACAACUGCAUAUUUGUUUGGUUUUUUUUUUUCUUUUUUUGUUGAUUUGAUCGCAGGAAUCAAAUAAGCAAACAAAAUACAAAAGGAAGAUGCAAAUGAAUAAUCAAAGUAAGAGUAUCAAAAUUCAAUCCUGCAACACACCCAUAUAUAUGAGAAUUAAUCUAGGGAAUGCGUAUACAAUAUACAUAUAUAUUUAUUGUGAAACUUGGUGUGUCUAUUAAUUGACGUAAAUCGUAAUGUCAUUUGAGGUGAGAUGAGAUGAGAUGAGAUGAGGUGGGGUUUAUUCUUCCCAAUUACUAAGUAUCAUCAUAUUGCCAGAAUUUGAAUAUCUGUUAGUGAACGAGAUUAUUUAUAACAAAAGUUCAGUUAUUAUUAUUAUUAUUAUUACUAUUAUUACUUUUCGUGCGCUUUGAUAAUUAUUUAAAGAAAAAGUCUGCCUAUCAUCUACCUACAUGCCCACAAAUGCUGCUGGCUUAUUUAAUGAAUGACAUACAAUUUUAUAUAUAUAUUAAAAUUAAUUAAUUGAUUGAUUGGGCAAAGCAUAUACAUACAAUAAUGCUUGGAUAUUAUCUAUCUAUUAUAUAAUGAAAAAAGUUAUUUAUCUUGUUGCAUCAAUUAGCAUUAAAUAUUAAAUAUUAAUCAGUGGUGCACUUUUAUCACUGAUAAUAAUAAUAAUCUCACAUACACACAUAAGUAUACACCUGCAACAUAUAUAAAUAUAUUAUUUUUUUUUCACUAGUGUCCUGUGAACGCUAUAAUUUCUAUUAUUAUUAUUACUAUUAUCUUUGAAAAAAUAAUUAAUGCGUGUUGUUGUUGUUAUUGCCUAUAUUGUGCACAGGCCAAAAAAAAAAAAAAAAACGAUAAGUGAAGGUGGAAGAAAAAGAAAAAAAAAAAAUGUGCAAUCAAGUUGUUUUUAAUAAUUUAGUUGAGACGUUUUAAAUGACGUUUUGUUUGUGAGCAAGUUUUUAUAAUUGUUUAUCUAUUAUUAAUAUAUUGAUGGUUACUGCAGUUGUUAUAUUAUUUAAACAUAUGCGAGUAGUUGCAUAGUGCGGUUUUAAUUUAUUUUUUAUUUUUUUCCAUUUUACAUUAUUACAAGUUGAUUGUGAUUUGUUAUUUUUAAUUUUGGUUUUUUUUUUUUUUUUUUCAAAUAGUUAUUACACAUGUACUAGUUUACCUACCUAUACAUGUUUUUUUGAAAAUUAAUUUUUUUAAUUCUUUCACAAUUAAAUUAUCAUUAUUGCAAUGCAUUUUAUAUUAUAUAUAUAAUUAAAAAAGAAAAAUAAUAAUAAUACUAUUGUGCUAUGUGAAUGAUAUAUAUAGAGAGUGAUUGUGAUUAAUUAUUAUUGAUGACAAUGUAUAUAAUUAUGAUGAUGAUUAUUUAAAUGGCCUGUUUUUAACCGCACUGCUAUAAAAGUUACACGAUUCGUGAAAAAAAAUAUAGUAAUAAUAUCCAAAAAAAUUACAUGCAAAUUGGGAUGAUGAAAGGAAAAAAGGAAAAAAAAAAAAAAAAAAAGUGUUACAUUUGUAGAAGUGGCUUAUUUCUUGCUAGAAAUCCUGAGCAUUAUUAUUAUAAUUAUGUGAGUGUUUUAUGGCCUUUUUAUUUUUUUACUUAAAAAUUUGUUAAUAUUUUUCUAUUAUCAUCAUUAUUUGAUGAUUUAUUUAUUUAUUACUAACUUUCAUAUAUAGUUUUGUCAAUCAACACAUUGUUUUUAAAUUUCAAUUACUAUUAUUAUUAUUAUUAUUAUUAUAAAUAUUAUAACAUUUUAUGUAAAUAAUUAAUGCUAUAUACUUGUUUAUGCAAAAAGACAUUAUAUUACUAAUAAUGCUCGAUAUAAUUUGUAUGUCGAUUUAAAAUAAUAAUAAAAAUAUUUAUGAUGUUGGGGGCGAGGGUGGGUCAAGGUCUAGGCUAUUACUAAUUACCCUUGCGAAUUUUUUUCAAUACAUAUUUUCAGGCAACGAAAAAAAAAGAAAAAAAAGCACUCGCACUCUGCUGCUACUUGUGCAAAAUUAUUUAUUUCAUUAUUUACUUAUUGACUGAUAAAUUGAUAAAUUAAAAUUGAAAAAUAUUGCUGCUAUAGCUGUCUGGCUACUUUUUUUGUUUGGCAUCAUGAAUAUUAUGGGAGAAUCAAGAGAUAUUAUGAUAAAGUUGGCCUGAUGUCACUGAAUUGUUGCUAUAAUUACAUUAUUGUGAUACACAUGAUAUUUGGGAAAUAAUAAUAAUAAUAAUCCUCUUGGCAUGCAUCUAUAAUCUAUAUAUUGGCUGAAUUAAAUAAUUAAAUUUUCUUGUGUCAGUACGAGUCAGUAAUCAGUAUCACCAAUUUAUAUAUACAUAUUUACAACAAACGAGUUACAAAUAGUCGUUGUAUUUAUUGUCCAGCUUUUUCAAACCAUGAUGAAGAUGAUAUUAUUAAUAUUAUAUGUUAUAACACUGCAUUUUAUUUAUAUUUGAGGAUUAUUACAUAAUAUUAUAUACAUGUAUUGCUGACAUGGUAGAGAGGUACGCGCUAUAUUUAUUUAAUUUAUUAUUUAUAUAUUAAUAAUAUUUUAAUUACAUCUAUUUAUUAAUAUUUAUUUAAUGCUUAACACAAUUUCAUGUGCAUAACAUGUAUGAUGUAUUAAUAUUUAUUUCAUCAUGAUGGAGACAAAAUAUCUGUCUUUUUUAAAACAAAAACAAUUUGGAAUUUUUAAUGAGCACUUGGUAUACAUAUAUAUAAAUGAGGAAUUAAUAAACCAGCAGCUGAAGAUUAUCAUAAACACACUAGAUCAAGUUGGGUAGUCACAUUAAUGGAUUAUGUAUAUGAGCACCACACAAUUUAAUAACGAGACGCAGACUCUUUUUUUUUCAAAUGCAGCUAUUUGUUAUGUACCUAUUAUAUAAUUGAGGAAUGAUAAUGAUGAUGGGCAUUGCGUGAGUCUUUCUAUUUAAGUAGGUAACAAAAACAUGUAGUUUUUCUCCAGUGUGUUGUUUUUUUUUUUCUUUUUUUUUCCCUGCUAACCGAGUGUUUUAGAGAUAUCAAGAUAUACCAACAAUCUUGAAGGAAUUUACUUGCUGCACUGUUGUAACUGUUAAUCACGAGGAUGAUGAUGAUGAUGAUCCUAUUAUUUAGUCACAAUGAAAUAUCAUCAGUAAAAAUAGUCGUGGCCUGAAUUAAUUAGAGCUUCUCCUUAUUGGUGAUGUUGUGGUUGUUGUUGUUCAUCAUAUUCUUCUUUUUCUUCAACUACCUCUUUAACCAAGGAAAAAACAGCGACAAUUUAUUUGGCUCAUCUUGCUAGUAGUCAUCACGUUGAUUAUGCAACUACACCGUGCCAGUCCAUAGUAUAUAUAUAAUAGGAUAGCAGUUUUAUAUUUUUUGUCAUCUACUCAUAUCAACUCAUCUAUACUCGUCAUUUGAGAUUGCAAGAUUCAGCUUCUCUUUAAUAAUAAUGAGUGGCUUUUUAACACAACUAUUCAAGAUGAAUUAUUUCGUGUUCAUCGAGGGUUGUUGCAUUAUGUAUUCAUCAUCAAUUGACGCUGCACCAAAAUACACUGAAACACAUAACUCCGCAAGUUCCUCCAAUACAAUGGGCUUUUUACUAAAUAAAUAUAUUCCCAAUAAUUGUGAUGCACCUCAUCAGCACGCAAAUUCCGAGGGUGGUAUGGAAUUUUUAUAUCUUUCUACAGUCAGCAACUUCAUGGAUGUAUCCAGAUGUAUCCAGAGUUCCAGCAAAAAGGCAUUUUUUUUCUUAAAAAAAAGAUUAUAUUCCAAUUAUUUACUUUUUACAGUUAUUAUCAUUUUUUAUUUUAUUUAACAAUAUUAUAAUAAUUUAUUAUUGGGUUGCAAAUGAUUUUUCAUUUAAAAUAUAAAAAAAUAAAAAAAUAAUAUUAAAUUUAAAAAAUUGAAAAAAAAAAAAAAAACUAAGAAAUAAAAAAAAUAGAAAUCUAAAAAAUUAAAAAAAAACAUGAAUAAAAAUAAAUAAAAAAUUACAUUAACAAAAAAAUAAAUAGAAAAUAGAAAAAAAAAAGGUUGGGGGGAGAGGGGCUGGACCAGCGCAGAAGAAAGAAGACAUCGCAGAAGAGGACCCCAGAGGAGCAGUGGACCAGAGGACUUCAUCGUGGGAUCAACCUGGACGUGGACGUGGACCUGGACCUGGACGUGGAGCUGGAUCAAGUGGACAUCAUCGUGGGACGUGGACAAGAAGACAACAUGGAUUAUUAAUUGCGACAUUGAAGGACUAGUAUGAAUCAUUAACAAGAGUCCAAUACUCAUAAAUUCAUUGGCAAUUUUGGGAAACAAACAAUGAUAUAAUUCAAAUGAAAUUUACAAUUUUUUGUCAAUCAACGUACAUACCCUUAUAGAACAAGUAAAAAUAAUUAUUUAUUAUUUUUUAUCAUCUUUCGGUUAAUUAAUAACAAUAGGCCAGACAUUUAAAUUAAAAAGACUGACAAAAAAAAGUAAACGACACACACACACACUUUAUAAACUUUUAACUUAACUUUUUGCAUCAACAGAUUCGAGUCUUUAUCUUUCUUAUUUCCAUGAUUAAAUAAUUUUAAUGAUUGAUGCACAAUAAAAAACUAAUUUUUCUAAAUUUACAACAAAUCAAAAUAUCCAAAUUCUACAAAAGUAAAAAUACACAGUAUUUAAUGAAUUAGUUAUUGAAGCAAAAGUACAAUUAAUUGACAAAAUG
rnacentral:lncRNA from 1 species